rnacentral:ncRNA from 2 species
AGAUGCCGUUCUGCUACGGGUGCCCGCAAGGGCUUAAUCGGGAAGUCCGGGGGGCGGGGAAACCUGCCCGAUCCGGCACUGCUCCCGCAACUGUGACCGGGGAAGCGCACCGCCACGAUGCCAUUGGGACCACAAGGUCCCGAGAAGGCGGCGGACCAGCGCGAUGAUCCGGUAAGUCAGGAAACCGGCCCGUUGCCGUCGAUCCUU